rnacentral:rRNA from 1 species
CGCUGGCGGUAGGCUUAACACAUGCAAGUCGUGCGAGAAAGUAUCUUCGGAUAUGAGUAGAGCGGCGGACGGGUGAGUAACGCGUAGGAAUCUACCUAGUAGAAGGGGAUAGCCCGAGGAAACUCGGAUUAAUACCGUAUACCUCCUUCGGGAGAAAGAAGGCCUCUCUUUGAAGCUUUCGCUACUAGAUGAGCCUGCGUAAGAUUAGCUUGUUGGUGAGGUAAAGGCUCACCAAGGCUACGAUCUUUAGCGGGUCUGAGAGGACGAUCCGCCACAUUGGGACUGAGACACGGCCCAGACUCCUACGGGAGGCAGCAGUGGGGAAUAUUGGACAAUGGGCGAAAGCCUGAUCCAGCCAUACCGCGUGUGUGAAGAAGGCCCUAGGGUUGUAAAGCACUUUAAGUUGGGAAGAAAAGUUAUUGGUUAAUACCCAAUGACCGUGACAUUACCAUCAGAAUAAGGACCGGCUAAUUCCGUGCCAGCAGCCGCGGUAAUACGGAAGGUCCAAGCGUUAAUCGGAAUUACUGGGCGUAAAGCGCGCGUAGGUGGUUUAUUAAGUUGGGUGUGAAAUCCCCGGGCUCAACCUGGGAACUGCAUCCAAAACUGAUUCACUAGAGUACGAUAGAGGGAGGUAGAAUUCACAGUGUAGCGGUGGAAUGCGUAGAUAUUGUGAAGAAUACCAAUGGCGAAGGCAGCCUCCUGGAUCUGUACUGACACUGAGGUGCGAAAGCGUGGGUAGCGAACAGGAUUAGAUACCCUGGUAGUCCACGCCGUAAACGAUGUCAACUAUCUGUUGGAAAGCAUUGCUUUUCAGUGGAGCAGCUAACGUAAUAAGUUGACCGCCUGGGGAGUACG